rnacentral:rRNA from 1 species
AAUGAACGUUGGCGGCGUGGAUUAGGCAUGCAAGUCGAGCGAGAACCGUAGCAAUACGGGGACAGCGGCGAAAGGGACAGUAAUGUGUAGGUACCUACCCCCGGGUUCGGGAUAGCUGCGGGAAACUGCAGGUAAUACCGAAUAAUGUCUUCGGACCAAAGGUGUGAUUCCACCUGGGGAGGGGCCUGCAUCCUAUUAGCUUGUUGGUGGGGUAACGGCUUACCAAGGCGACGAUGGGUAGCGGGUGUGAGAGCAUGACCCGCGUCAUUGGGACUGAGACACUGCCCAGACACCUACGGGUGGCUGCAGUCGAGGAUCUUCGGCAAUGGGCGCAAGCCUGACCGAGCGACGCCGCGUGCGGGAUGAAGGCCUUCGGGUUGUAAACCGCUGUCGUAGAGGAGGAAAUGCAGGAGGGUUCUCCCUUCUGUUUGACCUAUUCUAGGAGGAAGUACGGGCUAAGUUCGUGCCAGCAGCCGCCGUAA